ACUGUGACCCGAGAGGAGGUGGCCACUCAACGCUGAGGUCACACGGCUCCCUUCCUUAUGCAGGAUUCCCUGGAAUGUGACUUCACUGUGACCCGAGAGGAGGUACCUCGGCCACUCAACGCUGAAGUCACACGGCUCUCUUCCUUAUGCAGGAAAGUCAAGACACACUGCUGCUGGAACACUGCACCACCAAGCCAAGACAAGACAAGCGAC